ACGGGAGGCAGCAGUGGGGAAUAUUGCGCAAUGGGGGGAACCCUGACGCAGCGACGCCGCGUGAGCGAAGAAGGCCUUCGGGUUGUAAAGCUCUGUUUUAAGGGACGAAACCUGUAUGUAGGAAAUGACAUGCAAUUGACGGUACCUUAAGAGGAAGCCCCGGCUAACUACGUGCCAGCAGCCGCGGUAAGACGUAGGGGGCGAGCGUUGUCCGGAAUCACUGGGCGUAAAGAGCACGUAGGCGGGAGAUUAAGUCUACUGUGAAAGACCGGGGCUCAACCCCGGAAUUGCAGAAGAAACUGAUUUUCUUGAGGGCAGGAGAGGAAAGCGGAAUUCCUGGUGUAGCGGUGAAAUGCGUAGAAAUCAGGAGGAACACCGGUGGCGAAGGCGGCUUUCUGGACUGACCCUGACGCUGAGGUGCGAAAGCGUGGGUAGCAAACAGGAUUAGAUACCCUGGUA
rnacentral:rRNA from 1 species